rnacentral:rRNA from 1 species
UAGUCCACGCUGUAAACGAUGUCAACUAGCCGUUGGGAGCAUUUUGGCUCUUGGUGGUGCAGCUAACGCGAUAAGUUGACCGCCUGGGGAGUACGGUCGCAAGAUUAAAACUCAAAGGAAUUGACGGGGGCCCGCACAAGCGGUGGAGCAUGUGGUUUAAUUCGAUGCAACGCGAAGAACCUUACCUGCCCUUGACAUCCUGGGAAGGUCCUAGAGAUAGGACUGUGCCUUCGGGAACCCAGUGACAGGUGCUGCAUGGCUGUCGUCGGCUCGUGUCGUGAGAUGUUGGGUUAAGUCCCGUAACGAGCGCAACCCUCGUCCUUAGUUGCCAGCACAUUAUGGUGGGGACUCUAAGGAGACUGCCGGUGACAAACCGGAGGAAGGUGGGGAUGGCGUCAAGUCAUCAUGGCCCUUACGGGUAGGGCUACACACGUGCUACAAUGGUCGGUACAGAGGGUUGCGAAGCCGCGAGGUGGAGCUAAUCUCAUAAAACCGAUCGUAGUCCGGAUUGG